ACUCUAAACACCCAAAAAAUAUUGUUUCUCACCUCCGUGCUCCGCUGCCCCUCUCAAUUUUAACACGCUCUUCUCUUGGUUCCUCUCAUAACAAGCCCUAAAUUCCUCUCAUCACAAGGUCUCCGAAAAUUGGUUCAACGCUCUUCUCUUGGUUACCCCCAUCGUCGGCACCUAAACCCAUUAGCGCUUUUUCAUUUUUCACUAAAAUCCUCGUCUCCCUCCGCCGUCUGCCUUCUAUACCCAUUUUCCAAAUCGAGUUCCAAAACACUUGACUGCCUUGCAAACACAAAAACCAUUAAGGGUCCUAGCAAGAUGAGCACAUGGCCGGAGAAGGAAGUUGUCACGGGCGUCUAGUGUGGCGUUCACGGUUGCCUCGAAGAAUGGUAUGUGCGGUGGGUUGGAGUUGUUGCUUGCGACAGAUCGAAGGGUCCUGUGUAUGGCGCCCAUGAAGGCUUGCGGUAUGGCGUUGGUUGUUGUGUUCGAGGCCGACACGGUUGGCUGCAGCGGUUGCUGAUCCAUGUGAUUGCGACAUCAACGGAUUCAAGAUUUAUGUGGUAACUUCGCCAUCUCUUCUCCUUAUUUCUUAUACUGCAAUCUAUUAUUUACUUUUUGUUUAGUUGUUGUUGAAUUUGUAUAUUUAUGGUUGACUCUAUUUUGAGAGAAUAGUAGAUCUUAUCAAUAAGAAAGCACAAAACAAGAAGAAAGUGGAUACUGAACCACCUCCUAAACCGACUCGUGAGUCGGUUCCUAUUAUGGUUGAAGUCGUUCAUUCGGAUCCAGAGAAAAUGCCGACGUUUGUUGGUUAUUUUUCGUCUAGAUUUGAUUGGUUAAGCAAUCUUCUACUUCCGCCAGUAUCCAAGUUUAUCGAAACCAGUUUAUGUUUAAGAGGAUUGAGCUUGUUGCCAGCCCUGUUGAUUCCUCAGUUGAAUUCGUCAGAACGAGUUAUGUCGGAGAGGCUACGGGACAACGAGGGAUGUAUACACUUGGUGUGUUUUAUAAGAAAGCUCAAACACUUAAGGUUGUACGUUUUGGUGCUAAUAAGAUAUUUAGAUUGGAACCAAGAGUUAAAGGUUUGGAAUAUAAGGAGCAACUUCCAUGUUCGACUCUGGUGGAAGAGAUGAGUUAGGAUCAGUGGACAAUCAAGAGGAGAUUGGCUGAUGCUGCUUUUGGAACAAAGAGACAUAAUGAAAUGGUAGAUUUUGAUUUCUGUUUAGCACUUAUUCUCUACUAUGCUAAUAACAAGUAAUUACAUGACAAACUCAUUAUUUCAGUUUGACUUUUUGGAUGUUGAAAAUUUAGAAGUGACACAUGAAUCUCAGCUUAGAGAUGAAAUUUUACAUAAUAUACAAUUCCACAUGUUUAAGGUGCCACUAUUGCACUUAUUGUUAACGUGUAUUUUUUUAAAGGAUGAUUUUUCUAGGUCUGAGAUAUGUUAUAUUUAUGAAAACAUGAUUAGAUGAUAUGACACCCUUCAUGGUUUUCUAAUCAAAUAUGAUUUCAUAUGACCACAUUUAAUCUUGGAGUAAAUAAUACCCUUCAUGGUUUUAAAGAUGAUACCCUUCAUGGUUUUCUAAUCAACUAGUGGGGUUGAUUCUGAUGUAACUUUUAAAGAUGAAUUUGUUGGAUUGUUGAAUUGCUCUGAUCAUUAUUCAGCAUAGAGCUUCCUAUGCUAUCAAAGUAUUGUUCAUAUUUAUGGUAUUCAUGGGUUGAUAUUGUUUGUUGGUUGGAUGGGAGUUGAACUUUUUUAUAUAGCUUAACAACUCUUUUUCUGCAGUGUGUUAUCAUUCCUUGAUAAUUCUUCUCAUUACUGAUCUAGAGUUAAUGUUCCACUGGUCUAGAGUUUUAUCUGUAGAAGUACUUUCUCAUGUUAGUUUUGCAGUGAAGGACAAUCUUGGAUAGAGUUCAUUUUGCAGAAGUUGAAGGGCAAAAGUCUAAACUGUGAAUUACUAUGGCAGCAAAACCACGUGAACUAUAUUCUGUUUUGCAGAUAUCAAACUUCAAUGCAAAUGUGACUUUUGCUCUUGAAGAGUUUAGGGAACUGCAUGAUCUAAUAAAAGGUAGUAGUCCUUUCAGGCCUAAAGUUUGGUUAAGAGUACAUUCAACUAAAUCAAAGUAGAGAAUUUAAAUCUUUUCUGUUUGCUUUAUUAAAAGAUACAUGUGCAAUAUACUUGAUAUUUUUGUUACCUACUAAUUCUGGCAAGUGUUAUCUUUAAGCUUAUGCAGGUAGGUACUGUGUCAAAUUCUUUCAUUCAAGUACUUUUUCUGAUCAUGUCUUUUGCAUUCUAGUUUUGCAACCCAAAUAUUGGUAAGUUUGUCUAGUUGUGCCAGUUUGAUAGCCCUUGAUGCACACUUUCUUUGGCUUUAAACAAAAAAAAAUAGAGCUUUAAACUACAUAUAAUCUACGGCAAGGUGAUUGUUGUCCCUUCAUGAGAGAUUUGUUUAGGAUAAGCCUUACUAAAUGUGCCAUUGUUUUGUUUAGAUACUUAUCCCAUUCUACUGGUGUAUUACUAACAAUCAUAUUCAUGCUAUUAAGAUAUUUGUUCCCAGUCAUUAAUUCUUAAUUAAUUAUUGAUUAACCUUUAGGAUUCAUGUUUCUAACAUCUAGUAAUAUUUGUUUACUUGCCUUUGAUUCAUGUUUCUAACACUUGAUACCGGGGUGCUACCGAGGUGCUACCGACAUUUUGUCGUUCAUUUUUCUACCGAGGUUAACCGAUGGUUGUCAAGUUGUGGUUAUAAGCUUUGGUAUGAGAUUCGAAUAUUCUUCGGAGGACUUGACGAUAAUGAAGCGCUUGCUUACGGUAUGAGAAUAGUCUAACAUCCUGACAUUGUGCUAACUGUUGUUAAAUUUGUGUCUCCACCCGGAACAACAUUAUCAUUCGGCGCUAAGUUAGUCGGUGUUGCAUCGGUAGAAUAUACUAUGUUAGGAAGAAUGUAAAUAGGUUAACAGUUGAUUGUAUAUUAUCAAAGAAUGUAAAUAGAUUAACUGGUGAUUGUAUGUUAUCAUUUCAUCAUUAAUUUUUUUACUGA